GGUGCUUCUUGAACAGGGUGUUGUAGGAUCAGAGGAUAAUUGAUGUCAGAAGGGACCUCAGAGUCUCUGCCCCAGGCUCCUGCUGGAAGCAGGACCAGCUAUAAGAGCAGCAUGGGCUCCUUGCAACUUUAUCUAGUUGAGUCUUGAACACCUCCAAGGAUGGAGAGCAGUCUCAGCAGCCAGCUGGUGCUUGACUGUGCUCAUGUUUAGACAGUGGCUGAACCUCUCUGCAGUUUUCAUACCCCUUAUCUCCAGCCAUGCAGCCUGUGAGGAGCCUGGCCCCAUCUUUUUGGUGCCCCUGUGUGUGUUAUGCUGCUGCAGUUCCUGCUGGCCCAUCUCUCCUCCCUGCUGCAGGACACAGCUCUGCCUGGGGCUGCCUGCAGGCUUUCUGAGCACGGACCAUGACCCUCCUGCCCUGUGCUUUUCUCUCUCACAGCUCUGCACCCUUAAGAAAAGCCCUGCAGUAAAGCCAGAGCCAGCAGGACCCCUCAGCUUUCAUCGGCAAUGCCAUCACCGGCCUGGCAGCCCUGGCUCCAGAGCUCUGCUCCCUGUCACUCGCAGCUCCAAGGCCACUGUAGAGCUGCAAUAUUUCACAUGGCUUUUUUUUUCUUCCCUUCACGCACACGAAGCAGAGGUGGGCUCAGGUGUGAAACCUCUGCAGAGCAGCAAAGCCCUGAGCACGGUCAGGGCCCAGCGCGGCCUGUCGCCAUUUCAUGAGGGAGCUGUGGGGAAGCAGGAAGCCCAGGUACAAGACAAAGAACAAAAGUCCCAGGGGAACGUCACCAGCACAGUCAUCUCCACACAUGCAAAGGUCCCUUCUGCCUUUUUUUUUUUCCCCUUUGAAAUUUCAAAUUCCAGUUUGUGGACAAAGUCCUGCCUAUCUGAGAAUAUAGAUCUCCGACCACUGACCAAACUCCACUUCAAGCAGUCCCGAGGACUGCUCUUCCCCUUCCCACGGACGUGUCUGCUCAGUCCUUGGAUCUCCCAGGAUCAUGCCGAAAUUUUUGCACUGGAGCACAGCACUGGUACUCGCACAAAGUGGAUUUUGCACUUAAUGUCAGCAGCUUCCUUUCUGGGAAGAACCUCGGGAAUAACCAGGAGUGUGCAGAGUGCCUGAGUAACCUGUCGUGUCCCCAGUGCCCUCAAUCACCAGAGCACAGCAAGGGGUGAGUGAGAGCCAGAGAACACUCAGGAGCUCCAUGUCCACAGCAGCUGCACGCCCCCCACACACCCUCCUGUGUGACACAACUCUCCUGUCCACUGCCAGAGAAACAAAAACACAGCAGAAAGCAAGGUAUGGGAACACAGGAAGGGCAGGGGAUCACACGUCCCUACAGUUCCAGAAACCCACGGCCAGGACACUGCAGGGACAACUGCCUGGCUCUCAGUGGGAACUGCUGAUCAGCCUGUGAGUAUUCCACAUAGGUCUGCAACACUGGAUAACACUUUUAUUUGUCCCUUUACAUUCCUGCAAGUCCCAGUGCCAUUGGCCUCUUGUAUCAUAAAGAAAUUAAAAUAUAUUAUGACCAUAAA